AUUGAACGCUGGCGGAAUGCUUUACACAUGCAAGUCGAGCGGCAGCACGGGGGCAACCCUGGUGGCGAGCGGCGAACGGGUGAGUAAUACAUCGGAACAUGCCCAGUCGUGGGGGAUAACACUUCGAAAGAAGUGCUAAUACCGCAUACGUCCUGAGGGAGAAAGCGGGGGAUCUUCGGACCUCGCGCGAUUGGAGUGGCCGAUGUCAGAUUAGCUAGUUGGUGGGGUAAAGGCCUACCAAGGCAACGAUCUGUAGCUGGUCUGAGAGGAUGAUCAGGCACACUGGGACUGAGACACGGCCCAGACUCCUACGGGAGGCAGCAGUGGGGAGUUUUGGACAAUGGGGGCAACCCUGAUCCAGCCAUUCCGCGUGAGUGAAGAAGGCCUUCGGGUUGUAAAGCUCUUUCGGCAGGAACGAAACGGCGAGCUCUAACAUAGCUUGCUAAUGACGGUACCUGAAGAAGAAGCACCGGCUAACUACGUGCCAGCCGCCGCAGUAAAAC
rnacentral:rRNA from 1 species